rnacentral:tRNA from 3 species
GGAUCUGUAGCUCAGCUGGUUUAGAGCGCACGCCUGAUAAGCGUGAGGUCGAUGGUUCGAGUCCAUUCAGAUCCA